CAAAGGAGGAGACACCUGUCCAAAUCAUUCGUUUAACAUUGAGUUACUGAAAACCGAUUGAAAGGCUGAAACCUUGAAGAUCUUGGUAGAGUGCAAUGUGGAAAUACAAAGUCACAUCACUCCUCAUACUCUAUUUAUCUGCUGAUCCAGUCUUUGGGAAUUCUUUUGAACAGCCUGCAUCAGAUACUGGAAGAGAAAAAGCACAAAAGACGCUCACGUGUAGCUACAAACUCUCCGAUGUUUGUUGUUUGUGGUACAGAAAAUAUCCUUCUUCUGCUAUACAAUUUCUUGUUGCUACUUGUGGAAACAAUGAGAAAAAUUGGAGAUUUAGUGCAUAUAUCAGUUCCUCCAGUAGCAUAUUAACCAUUUCCAGUCUGGAGCUGAAUGAUGCAGCUGUUUAUUAUUGUGCACUUGAUAUGUAUUAUACUGAUCCUUUAAUAUUUGGAGCUGGAACCAAACUGACAGUAGAACCUGAGGAUAAGAAUCAUUCUCCCCCCUCUGUGUUUGUGCUGAAACCUCCAAAUGCUCACUCCACCACUGCCUGUCUGCUGAAAGACUUCUAUCCCAAGGAUGCUCAAAUCUAUAUGAAUUCAAGUCAGGGUGAAAUUGGUCCAGUGAAGGCCAACCCGAUUCUCUUUAAAAAUGGAUUGUACAGUGCAGUUAGUUUUGGAAAUCUAAAAGCAGAGGAUGUACACUGCCAGGCACAGCACCAAGGCAGUUGGUUAACAGAAACAUACAUGAAUUCCAUCGAAAAAGAUCCUGAAAUCAACAUUAUAGAAAACGUAAAUUCAACAGAGAUAGAAUGUGUCCCCACAGAAGGAAAUGAGAAAGUUAAUAUGAUGUGCAUUAAUAUUCUGGGUAUGAGAGUGCUUUUUGCCAAAACUCUGGCCUUCAAUCUUCUUCUGAGUGCAAAAAUCUUCAUCCUAUAAGAAUCUUAAACUGGAUCUCACAGAUAUAUGAAAAGAACCCAAUCAGUCAAUACCAUAAUGUCAAGAGUCCGUGUUUUAUGCAGCUACACUUCAAACAUUUAUGUCUCGAUAAGAAACACUUAAGAUACUGCAUAUUCUGAGCAACAACAUUUGUGUGGAAUAGCAUAUAUAUGUGCAGUUUUAAAUAAUAGAAAGUUAGGAUUGGGAAAUUACAGUAAUCUCUUCAUGGAACUAUUAAGAAGAUUGCAAGAUACAUCUGAGAGAAUA